UCCAAUUUAUACAGACUUGGGAGGAAAGCAUUUGUAUGGAAAGAAAGGAAUGGCUCCAAAGGUUUCAUUCCUGGGCUCCUUAGCCAAAACUUUGGCACAGUGGCGUCAACCUAAGAAAUUCGAUAGCUAGGAUAGAGAGUUUGUUCACAAGAACUGCUAAUUAUUGAUUAUGUGUUCCCAUUUGGGGAUCUCAUGGGGAAGGGCCAUAGAGCAUAG
rnacentral:misc_RNA from 1 species